CAGAUGAUGAUGAUGCAAUAUUAGGUUAAAUCCAACACUUGAUCUGAGGCAUUGUAUGUCGAUUGAUGCUAAACCUUUGCUUCUGAAUCUUA